rnacentral:rRNA from 1 species
AUACGAAGGGGGCUAGCGUUGUUCGGAAUUACUGGGCGUAAAGCGCGCGUAGGCGGAUUGGUCAGUUAGGGGUGAAAUCCCAGGGCUUAACCCUGGAACUGCCUCUAAUACUGCCAGUCUUGAGUUCGGGAGAGGUGAGUGGAAUUCCUAGUGUAGAGGUGAAAUUCGUAGAUAUUAGGAAGAACACCAGUGGCGAAGGCGGCUCACUGGCCCGAUACUGACGCUGAGGCGCGAAAGCGUGGGGAGCAAACAGGAUUAGAAACCCCGGUAGUCC